ensembl:lncRNA
UUCGAAUUUAGCUUGCAUUGCUAAAUCUGGUUUUCUGGCUAAGAGUGCAUGCAGAAAGGAGAUUUAAAAACGGAAGUAAGGGUAAUACAUUUAGUAUGACUGCUAAACUUAGAGAUGGCCCAGCCGUGUUAUUCACCUUGUGUGUAUAUAUCUUACGUAUAACUUGAUCAACCAGCUAUUUGCCGUAACUGAAGAAAAGGCCGCCUUGUGUUCCUUCACUCUGUGGUUAGAAGAAACUUAGCUCAGUCCACAAAUUCAGGGCAAGAAUGUUGUUGGCUGUCAUGCUGGUCAGGCUUAAUUGAUGUAAUAUCAAAGGCCCAAUUCAAGCCUGCUGUCUUUCCAGGGGCCCGGAGCCCCACCCAGCUUUCCUGCCUGCCUGAAUCCUGUCCAUGGACAAUUCUUUCAUUGAUUUCUCAGGCUUCAUCGGGAGCUCCACCUGGGUAGAGCGGCAGGAUCAGAUUAACACAUCAAACACCGAAAUAGCUCCGUACAUAGACUGUCCUGCCAUGCACACCGGCGAAAGGGCCGCGGUGACUAAGUCACGGCCCCUACCUGCUGAGCUGGGUAAGAAGAAAGGAGUCGGGUCCUCUGCUGAAUUCUGGUAUUGUUCUCAAUCGGGAAAAUGGGUAGAGCCGAAGAUAAUGGGCCAGCCACUGGCCUCCUUCGGGCAAGUAAGUACAUGUUUCCUCUUAAAAUCUCUCUGGAAAAAAGACAUGAAACAUUUUCUAUUAAAGCAACUCUCCUGGAAAUGCCUGC